GAUUUCGUAGCUCAGUUGGAUAGAGCGCUGGUUAUACUAAAACCUUGCCCUUGAUGUCGUGGGCUCGAAUCCCACCAAGUUCU
rnacentral:tRNA from 1 species